rnacentral:lncRNA from 1 species
GCCAGGAAGCAAACACAAGUGGAAGUGAGAUUCAAGAUUCCCCCUUCUGCACUCCUGCCUACCUUUAUCUUAGCAUGAGCCCUGACUCUCCCUGAGGGCAGGGACAGGGCAGGCUCCCAUCACCUCGGAUCCGCCCACUCUGGGGACAGAAGUGAAGCUGUAGUGUGGACCUUCUCGUGACUGCUUAUCUCAACAAACAUCACUUCUUCAAGACUCAUCCAUGGUGCACUGGGAGGUGAUGGCAUCCCCUUCUGUCUUCUUUUUAAUUAAAAAAAUAAUUUAUUUUUA